UACGACUACAUAUCAGGCAUAUCAAUAAGCGGAGGAAAAGAAACUAACUAGGAUUCCCUCAGUAACGGCGAGUGAAGCGGGAAGAGCUCAAAUUUGAAAUCUUCAAGGUUUUACCUUGACGAAUUGUAGUUUAAAGAAGUGUUUUCUGUUGGUGUUUUGGUAAAAGUUCUUUGGAAUAGGACAUCAUAGAGGGUGAGAAUCCCGUAUUUGACCAGUUACUUACCAGCUGUUGUGAUACACUUUCAAAGAGUCGGAUUGUUUGGGAAUGCAGUCCAAAAUGGGUGGUAAAUUUCAUCUAAAGCUAAAUAUUGGCGAGAGACCGAUAGCGAACAAGUAGCCGUGAGGGAAAGAUGAAAAGAACUUUGAAAAGAGAGUUAAACAGUACGUGAAAUUGUCAAAAGGGAAGCGUUUGACACCAGUGUUGUUUUCUCGAAAAUCAAUUAAAAAGUAUGGGAUUUUGUAUUGUUAAGACCUUAUCAGCUUACGGUACUUUUUUCUUAUUCUUUUUAAUGCACUCUUCGUUUAACAAGUCAACAUCAAUUUCUUUUGUUGUAAAAGAGUCAUUGGAAGGUGGCUUUCACUUCGGUGAAAGUGUUUAUAGCCUUUGGCUUCUGCAAUCGGAGAGAUUGAGGUCUGCAGCGUAGAUCCUUCGGGGUUAGAUACGUAGAUGCUAAGUUAUAGUUUUUCAUAGACAACAUUGUUGACUAUGAUUAAUCAUGUAGCAUUACUCGUUAUGCCUAUUUUACCUACGCUUAGGAUGUUGAAUCUGUGCGAGACUAC
rnacentral:rRNA from 1 species